rnacentral:tRNA from 1 species
GAUUUUAUAGUAUAUUAGUACAUUUGAUUUCCAAUUAAAAAGAGAAAAUAUGUAUCUAAAUUUG